rnacentral:rRNA from 1 species
CACGUAGGGUGCGAGCGUUGUCCGGAAUUAUUGGGCGUAAAGAGCUCGUAGGCGGUGUGUCGCGUCGGCCGUGAAAACCUGGGGCUCAACUCCAGCCUGCAGUCGAUACGGGCAGACUAGAGUUCGGUAGGGGAGACUGGAAUUCCUGGUGUAGCGGUGAAAUGCGCAGAUAUCAGGAGGAACACCGGUGGCGAAGGCGGGUCUCUGGGCCGAAACUGACGCUGAGGAGCGAAAGCGUGGGGAGCGAACAGG